rnacentral:rRNA from 1 species
CCUACGGGUGGCAGCAGUGAGGAAUAUUGGUCAAUGGACGAGAGUCUGAACCAGCCAAGUAGCGUGAAGGAUGACUGCCCUAUGGGUUGUAAACUUCUUUUAUAUGGGAAUAAACUGUUCCACGUGUGGUCUUUUGUAUGUACCAUAUGAAUAAGGAUCGGCUAACUCCGUGCCAGCAGCCGCGGUAAUACGGAGGAUCCGAGCGUUAUCCGGAUUUAUUGGGUUUAAAGGGAGCGUAGGUGGAUUGUUAAGUCAGUUGUGAAAGUUUGCGGCUCAACCGUAAAAUUGCCGUUGAAACUGGUAGUCUUGAGUACAGUAGAGGUGGGCGGAAUUCGUGGUGUAGCGGUGAAAUGCUUAGAGAUCACGAAGAACUCCGAUUGCGAAGGCAGCUUACUGGACUGCAACUGACACUGAGGCUCGAAAGUGUGGGUAUCAAACAGGAUUAGAUACCCCAGUAGUC